rnacentral:rRNA from 1 species
GACGAACGCUGGCGGCGUGCUUAACACAUGCAAGUCGAACGGAAAGGCCCUGCUUUUGUGGGGUGCUCGAGUGGCGAACGGGUGAGUAACACGUGAGUAACCUGCCCUUGACUUUGGGAUAACUUCAGGAAACUGGGGCUAAUACCGGAUAGGAGCUCCUGCUGCAUGGUGGGGGUUGGAAAGUUUCGGCGGUUGGGGAUGGACUCGCGGCUUAUCAGCUUGUUGGUGGGGUAGUGGCUUACCAAGGCUUUGACGGGUAGCCGGCCUGAGAGGGUGACCGGGCACAAUGGGACUGAGGGACGGACCAGACUGCUACGGGAGGCAAGAGGGGGGAAUAUUGCACAAUGGGGGGAAGCCAGGUGCAGCAACGCCGGGUGCGGGAUGACGGCCUUUGGGUUGUAAACCGCUUUCGCCUGUGACGAAGCGUGAGUGACGGUAAUGGGUAAAGAAGCACCGGCUAACUACGUG